UCAGGUGGUUAUUGCGGCGGUGUCCCACCUCUUCCCAUUCCGAACAGAGAAGUUAAGCCCGCCUGCGCCGAUGGUACUGCAAUGCAAUGCGGGAGAGUAGGUGGCCGCCUUUU
rnacentral:rRNA from 4 species